rnacentral:misc_RNA from 1 species
GAUGAAGAACGCAGCGAAAUGCGAUAAGUAAUGUGAAUUGCAGAAUUCAGUGAAUCAUCGAAUCUUUGAAAGCACAUUGCGCCCGCCAGUAUUCUGGCGGGCAUGCCUGUUCGAGCGUCAUUUCAACCCUCAGGCCCCCAGUGCCUGGUGUUGGGGAUCGGCCCAGCCUUCCUGUAAGGCCGCCGGCCCCGAAAUCUAGUGGCGGUCUCGCUGUAGUCCUCCUCUGCGUAGUAGCACAACCUCGCAGUUGGAACGCGGCGGUGGCCAUGCCGUUAAACACCCCACUUCUGAAAGUUGACCUCGGAUCAGGUAGGAAUACCCGCUGAACUUAAGCAUAUCAAUAAGCGGAGGA